rnacentral:rRNA from 1 species
UACAGGCUUAACACAUGCAAGUCGAGGGGCAGCAUGGUCUUAGCUUGCUAAGGCCGAUGGCGACCGGCGCACGGGUGAGUAACGCGUAUCCAACCUGCCUUACACUCUUGGACAGCCUUCUGAAAGGGAGAUUAAUACAAGAUGUUAUCAUGAGUAAGCAUUUUCACAUGAUUAAAGGUUUACCGGUGUAAGAUGGGGAUGCGUUCCAUUAGAUAGUAGGCGGGGUAACGGCCCACCUAGUCUUCGAUGGAUAGGGGUUCUGAGAGGAAGGUCCCCCACAUUGGAACUGAGACACGGUCCAAACUCCUACGGGAGGCAGCAGUGAGGAAUAUUGGUCAAUGGACGAGAGUCUGAACCAGCCAAGUAGCGUGAAGGAUGAAGGUUCUAUGGAUUGUAAACUUCUUUUAUACGGGAAUAAACGAAUCCACGUGUGGAUUUUUGCAUGUACCGUAUGAAUAAGGAUCGGCUAACUCCGUGCCAGCAGCCGCGGUAAUACGGAGGAUCCGAGCGUUAUCCGGAUUUAUUGGGUUUAAAGGGAGCGUAGAUGGGUUGUUAAGUCAGUUGUGAAAGUUUGCGGCUCAACCGUAAAAUUGCAAUUGAUACUGGCAGUCUUGAGUACAGUUGAGGUAGGCGGAAUUCGUGGUGUAGCGGUGAAAUGCUUAGAUAUCACGAAGAACUCCGAUUGCGAAGGCAGCUUACUAACCUGUAACUGACAUUGAUGCUCGAAAGUGUGGGUAUCAAACAGGAUUAGAUACCCUGGUAGUCCACACGGUAAACGAUGAAUACUCGCUGUAGGCGAUAUACAGUCUGCGGCCAAGCGAAAGCAUUAAGUAUUCCACCUGGGGAGUACGCCGGCAACGGUGAAACUCAAAGGAAUUGACGGGGGCCCGCACAAGCGGAGGAACAUGUGGUUUAAUUCGAUGAUACGCGAGGAACCUUACCCGGGCUUAAAUUGCAACCGAAUAUGGCGGAAACGCUAUAGCUAGCAAUAGCGGUUGUGAAGGUGCUGCAUGGUUGUCGUCAGCUCGUGCCGUGAGGUGUCGGCUUAAGUGCCAUAACGAGCGCAACCCUUGCCGAUAGUUACUAACAGGUCAUGCUGAGGACUCUGUCGGGACUGCCAUCGUAAGAUGUGAGGAAGGUGGGGAUGACGUCAAAUCAGCACGGCCCUUACGUCCGGGGCUACACACGUGUUACAAUGGGGGGUACAGAGGGCUGCUACCACGCAAGUGGAUGCCAAUCCCAAAAACCUCUCUCAGUUCGGAUUGAAGUCUGCAACCCGACUUCAUGAAGCUGGAUUCGCUAGUAAUCGCGCAUCAGCCACGGCGCGGUGAAUACGUUCCCGGGCCUUGUACACACCGCCCGUCAAGCCAUGGGAGCCGGGGGUACCUGAAGUGCGUAACCGCAAGGAGCGCCCUAGGGUAAAACUGGUGACUGGGGCU